rnacentral:rRNA from 1 species
UAGAUGCGAGAGUAGAGCAUAUCAAUAAGCGGAGGAAAAGAAACUAACAAGGAUUCCCUUAGUAACGGCGAGUGAAGCGGGAAGAGCUCAAAUUUGAAAUCUUCAAGGUUUUACCUUGACGAAUUGUAGUUUAAAGAAGUGUUUUCUGUUGAAGUUUUGGUAAAAGUUCUUUGGAAUAGGACAUCGUAGAGGGUGAGAAUCCCGUAUUUGACCAUUAUUUUCAGCUGUGUGAUACACUUUCAAAGAGUCGGAUUGUUUGGGAAUGCAGUCCAAAAUGGGUGGUAAAUUUCAUCUAAAGCUAAAUAUUGGCGAGAGACCGAUAGCGAACAAGUACCGUGAGGGAAAGAUGAAAAGAACUUUGAAAAGAGAGUUAAACAGUACGUGAAAUUGUCAUAAGGGAAGCGUUUGACACCAGUGUUGUUUUCUCGAAAAUCAAUUAAAAAUGAUGGGAUUUUGUGUUGUAUUGACUUUAUCAGCUUUCUGCACUUUUUUCUUAUCUUUUUUAAUGCACUUUUCGUUUAACAAGUCAACAUCAAUUUCUUUUGUUGUAAAAGAGUCAUUGGAAGGUGGCUUUCUUUUCGGAGAAAGUGUUUAUAGCCUUUGACUUCUGCAAUCGGAGAGAUUGAGGUCUGCAGCGUAGAUCCUUCGGGGUUAGAUGCAUUUGUGCUAAGUUAUAGCCUUUCAUAGACAACUUGUUGACUAUGAUCAGUCAUGUAGCUUACUCGCUUAUGCCAUUUUACCUACGCUUAGGAUGUUGACACACGCGCGUGCUCG